rnacentral:tRNA from 1 species
GUCCUCGUAGUUCAACGGAUAGAACGCAAGGUUGCGGACCUUGUGAUCCAAGUUCGAUUCUUGGCGGGGGCA